GCGGGUUAUUAUAAAUCGCGUCGAAUGAAGCUGUUCACAUAAUUUCGAUCGAACUUCACUUGGUAAGUUCGUUUGAUCUUCAAUUAUGUUUCACAGCUUCAUUCUUUGCGAUUUAAGUUUAACAUAGUGUAGGAUGUUCAGAGCAUAUUAAUGUGAAAUAAAUCGUUAACGGAUCAAGGAUAUACUUAGGUCUCCGGCAGAGGAAAGGAUUGAACGAGCGAAUUGAUUACAAUCAGCGACUAUCUCCUUAUGAUAGUAUUUGGCGAAUACACAUGAGGCAUCCGUCCACCCUGCUGUUUUGCGGAUUAAGUCAAGACUUACACCCAUCUUGUUGGCCGUGGAUGUGGAAGCAUGACGAGUGCUAUGUGCCGUGAAUAUAGAAGUGUCUAUUCCACUAUCGCGUAGUGUUGUUUUUAUCCAUGAACUUAGUGUUUGAGGUGUGACUUUAUUGUGCGGUUUUUUGUAACUUAUAAAUAAAGAGUUGUUACUUGUA